AGGGCACACACUGUUGUGGUUACUCUCCUGCCUUUCCAUAGAUAAGAGCCGUGUAUAUGUGUUCGAUGCGCAUCUCAUCAUCACAAAAGAGGCCUGUGACAUUCAAUAUAGGUGUGUUUCCUAACACAUGCGUCAGAGGCAUCUGUGGCUACAUCCGUUCCAGUGAUGGGCAUUGCGGUUUUUAAAAUUCUUUGUCCUCGGCAUCUUGGAAUAAGUCACAGGAAAGAGCCACAGCCCCAUGUGACAGUUCUGCUAUCACUCCAUCUUACAGAUGAAGAAACUGAGGCUCAGGGAAGAGAGAUAGCUGCUCACUGUCACACACUGUGGGAGAUGUCACAAAUUCUGUGCCAGAAUCUCACAAAUCACAAAGAACUUAUGUAACCAAACACCACCUGUUCCCCAAUAACC